rnacentral:lncRNA from 1 species
AUGGCACUCAAGGCGAAGAAGGAAGCUCCUGCCCCUCCUCAAGCCAAAGCCAAAGUGAAGACUUUAAGGGCCAAGAAGGCAGUGCUGAAAGGUGUCCACAGGACAAAGCCUCCAUCGCACCUGCCCAUUCCCCAGAGACCAGUCAUCCACAUCUGGUGGCCCAAGACACUGCGACACCACAGGUAGCCCAAAUAUCCUUGGAAGAGUGCCCUCAGAAGAAACAAGUUUGACCACUAUGCCAGCCUCAAGUUCCCACUGACCAUGAGGAGAUUGCAGGACUAAGGUCUAGAAGGCAACACACUUGUGUUCACUGUGGAUGUUAAAGCCAACAAGCACCAGAUGGAACAGGCUAUGAAGGAGUUCCAUGACAUCUGUGUGGCCAAGGUCAACAACUGAGUCGACCUGAUGGAGAGAAGAAGGCAUGUGUCCACUGGCUCCUGAUGACCAUGCUUUGGAUGUUGCCAACAAAAUUGGGAUCAUCUAA